GCAGCCGCGGUAAUACGUAGGUGGCAAGCGUUGUCCGGAUUUACUGGGUGUAAAGGGCGUGCAGCCGGGACUGCAAGUCAGAUGUGAAAUCUAUGGGCUCAACCCAUAAACUGCAUUUGAAACUGUAGUUCUUGAGUGUCGGAGGGGCAAUCGGAAUUCCUAGUGUAGCGGUGAAAUGCGUAGAUAUUAGGAGGAACACCAGUGGCGAAGGCGGAUUGCUGGACGAUAACUGACGGUGAGGCGCGAAAGCGUGGGGAGCAAACAGGAUUAGAUACCCC
rnacentral:rRNA from 1 species